UCCUUGCUAGCGUUCGGCCUGUGGAAUCUGGAUACUCCAUAAAGUUCGACAGUAGAGGGUGCCUGCUGCCUAGUGUUGGCUUGUGUGUGUUGUGAGUUUUGGAAUUGAGUUUGACAUUUAGGAGUUGGAGAUAAGUGUCUCAUAACAAGGUAUGUU